AUUGAACGCUGGCGGCAGGCCUAACACAUGCAAGUCGAGCGGAAGAAGGGAGCUUGUGCCUGGUUCCAGCGGCGGACGGGGGAGUGAUGCAUAGGAAUCUGCCUGGCAGGGGGGGAUGACGUCCGGAAACGGGUGGUAAUACCGCAGACGAGCAGCGGGAGAAGGAGGGGGAGGGUCGGACCGCACGGGAGCAGAGGGGCGUAGGUGGGAUUAGCUAGUUGGUGGGGUAAGGGCCUACCAAGGCGACGAUCCGUAACUGGUCUGAGAGGAUGAUCAGUCACACUGGAACUGAGACACCGUCCAGACUCCUACGGGAGGCCGCAGUGGGGAAUAUUGGACAAUGGGCGAAAGCCUGAUCCAGCCAUGCCGCGUGUGUUAAGAAGGUCUUCGGUUUGUAAAGCCCUUUUAGUUGGGGGGAAGGGCAGUAAGUUAAUACCUUGCUUUAUUGACGUUACCAGCAGAAGAAGCACCGGCUAACUUCGUG
rnacentral:rRNA from 1 species